rnacentral:rRNA from 1 species
AGCGAACGCUGGCGGCAGGCCUAACACAUGCAAGUCGAACGGCAGCACAGAGGAGCUUGCUCCUUGGGUGGCGAGUGGCGGACGGGUGAGGAAUACAUCGGAAUCUGCCUAGUCGUGGGGGAUAACGUAGGGAAACUUACGCUAAUACCGCAUACGACCUACGGGUGAAAGCGGGGGAUCGCAAGACCUCGCGCGAUUAGAUGAGCCGAUGUCCGAUUAGCUAGUUGGCGGGGUAAUGGCCCACCAAGGCGACGAUCGGUAGCUGGCCUGAGAGGAUGAUCAGCCACACUGGAACUGAGACACGGUCCAGACUCCUACGGGAGGCAGCAGUGGGGAAUAUUGGACAAUGGGCGCAAGCCUGAUCCAGCCAUGCCGCGUGGGUGAAGAAGGCCUCGGUUGUAAAGCCCUUCUGUCCGGAAAGAAAAGGCACUGGAUUAAUACUUCGAUGUUCUGACGGUACCGGAAGAAUAAGCACCGGCUAACUUCGUGCCAGCAGCCGCGGUAAUNCGAAGGGUGCAAGCGUUACUCGGAAUUACUGGGCGUAAAGCGUGCGUAGGUGGUUCGUUAAGUCUGAUGUGAAAGCCCCUGGGCUCACCUGGGAAUUGCAUUGGAUACUGGCGGGCUAGAGUGCGGUAGAGGAUGGCGGAAUUCCCGGUGUAGCAGUGAAAUGCGUAGAGAUCGGGA